AAAAACUUGAUUUAAGAAUUCUCAUUGUUUUUUUAAAAAAAAGGCCUUCAGAUCUCAAAAUUCCUUAUAUUGCAUGACAUUUUAUUCCUAGAAAGCUUAAAAUGGGCUUUGACUUCUUAUCAAGAGAGAAACCUAUGCAUGCCUUUGGAUAGGAAACAGCUGUUUAUGUCACUUCAAAUUCUCAAGG
rnacentral:lncRNA from 1 species